AGUAGCUAUUCUAUACGUGAACUC
rnacentral:siRNA from 1 species